rnacentral:rRNA from 1 species
UUGACCUCAAAUCAGGUAGGACUACCCGCUGAACUUAAGCAUAUCAAUAAGCGGAGGAAAAGAAACUAACAAGGAUUCCCUUAGUAACUGCGAGUGAAGAGGGAAAAGCUCAAAUUUAAAAUCUGGCAGUGCUUCACUGUCCGAGUUGUAACCUAGAGAAGUGUAACCUGUGCUGGACCGUGUAUAAGUCUCCUGGAAUGGAGCAUCACAGAGGGUGAGAAUCCCGUCUUUGACAUGGACUACCAGUGCAUUGUGGUUGCGCUCUCAACGAGUCGAGUUGUUUGGGAAUGCAGCUCUAAAUGGGUGGUAAAUUCCAUCUAAAGCUAAAUAUUGGCGAGAGACCGAUAGCGAACAAGUACCGUGAGGGAAAGAUGAAAAGAACUUUGGAAAGAGAGUUAAACAGUAUGUGAAAUUGUUGAAAGGGAAACGUUUGAAGUCAGUCGCGUUGGUUGGGGAUCAGCCUGACAUUGUUGGGUGUACUUCCUGGUCGACGGGCCAACAUCAGUUUUGACUGCCAGAAAAAGGCCAAAGGAAUGUGGCACCUUUGGGUGUGUUAUAGCCGUUGGUCGUAUAUGGUGGUUGGGACUGAGGAAAGCAGCGUGCCGAAAGGCCGGGUUUCGACCACGUUCACGCUGAGGAUGUUGGCAUAAUGGCUUUAAGCGACCCGUCUUGAAACACGGACCAAGGAGUCUAACAUGCAUGCGAGUGUUUGGGUGGAAAACCCUUACGCGUAAUGAAAGUGAAAGUUGAGAUCCCUGUCGCGGGGAGCAUCGACGCCCGGACCAGAACUUUUGGGACGGAUCUGCGGUAGAGCACGUAUGUUGGGACCCGAAAGAUGGUGAACUAUGCCUGAAUAGGGUGAAGCCAGAGGAAACUCUGGUGGAGGCUCGUAGCGAUUCUGACGUGCAAAUCGAUCGUCAAAUUUGGGUAUAGGGGCGAAAGACUA